rnacentral:rRNA from 1 species
UACCCCACUAUGCCCAGCCCUAAACUUAGAUAGCAAAAUACCACCUAUCCGCCAGAGAACUACAAGCAAAAUACUUAAAACUCAAAGGACUUGGCGGCAUUCCAUAUCAACCUAGAGGAGCCCGUCCAAUAAUCGAUAAUACACGCUCAACCCAACCAUUUUUGGCCACUCCAGCCUAUAUACCGCCGUCGUCAGCUAACCUUAUGAAAGAAAAGAAGUAAGCAAAAUAGCCCCCACUAAAACGUCAGGUCAAGGUGUAGCUAAUAAAAUGGGUGUGAUAGGCUACAUUUUCUAUCAUAGAAAAUAACGGAAAAUACAAUGAAACCUUGUAAUAGAAGGUGAAUUUAGAAGUAAACUAAGAAAGAAUCCUUAUUUUAACCCCGCUCUGGAAUGCGCACACACCGCCGUCACC